rnacentral:rRNA from 1 species
ANGKUGUGCAAUUCGACUUGUUUUGAAAUAUAAUAAUUAUUGGUUUAUUAAUUGUGUGGAAUUAAAGUGCUUAGUUAGUCUUAGUAAUUUUUAUUGAAUGGAUUGAGUAUAUUAUAAUGCAAUAGUAUUGAAAAAGAAUUUUUAAGUUGGUUUGAUUAAGAAAAAGUAAUUUUUUGGUGUACCUUUUGUAUCAGGGUUUAUUAAAAUUAUGUAAUUAUUUAUUAUUCCCGAAAUAGGUUGAGCUAUAUUAUUAGGUGAUUUAUUGUAAUAAAAAUAUUUAAAAUAAUAAUAUAGGAGUGAUAUGUUAAUCGUUUCCUAUGAUAUCUGGUUUUUUUAGAAUUUAAUUUAAUUAAGUUUGCUGUGAAAGUAAUAAUUUUUAAAUUUGCUUUUAAAUGUAAUGAAAACUUUUGAGGGAUAAGCUUCAAAAGCUAUAAUAAGGUAUUUUAUUUUGUUAAUAAUAAUAGGCUUUAGAAUAGCCAUUUUAUUAGUAUGUUUUAAUUAAUGUUAUUAUAGAAUAAGAUUUUAAAGUUCUUUUAUUUUUAUAUAAAAAUAAUUGAUUUAAUUAUAAAUUAAGUGUAAUAAUGAUGGAAUUAGUAUAAUAGGUUGUAAAAAAGUAAUAUUGGUUUUAGGUUUUUAUAAAGAAUUAGGCAAACAUACUUCCGCCUGUUUAACAAAAACAUGUCUUUUUGGUUUAUAUAUAAAGUCAGACCUGCUCACUGAAUAGUUAAAGAGCCGCGGUAUUUUGACCGUGCAAAGGUAGCAUAAUCAUUUGUCUUUUAAUUGAAGAAUUGUAUGAAUGGUUUAACGAGAAGUAGACUGUUUCAUAAGAAAAAUUAGAAUCUAACUUUUAAGUGAAAAGGCUUAAAUAUUAAUUAGGGACGAGAAGACCCUAUAGAGUUUGAUUAAUAAUUAUGCAAUAAGAUUUAGUUAAUAACAUUUGUUGUAUAAUUAUUGGUUUAGUUGGGGCGACUGAAGGAAUAAAUAAACUCCUUUAUUUUAUUAUUCAUAAAUAAAUGAUAUUUGAUCCAAAGAUUUUGAUUAUAAGAUUAAAUUACCUUAGGGAUAACAGCGUAAUUACAUUUAAGAGUUCAUAUCGACAAUGUAGAUUGCGACCUCGAUGUUGGAUUAAGAUAAAUUAAUGGUGUAGAAGUUAUUAAUAAUGGUUUGUUCAACCUUAAAGUCUUACAUGAUCUGAGUUCAGACCGGCGUGAGCCAGGUCGGUUUCUAUCUUAAUUAAAAGGUGUAGUUUAGUACGAAAGGACCAACUAUUAAAAAUAAUUUUUAAUGAGGUGAAUUAAUAUAAUAU